CUGCAGCCUGACCUGCCCGCUAGCAUGGGGUGAGCCUGGGCUGCCUCUAUUUUGCUCUAUGUUUAUUUCGUUUUGUCACUAUCUUAAAGAGAAAGACAGCAGGUUUUCUCCCAAACAGUUUUUCCCUUCAGGGUAAGGGAUGUCAGCCAGAGGGUGCAGAAGCACAAAGCCUCGGAGGACAAGAGAAAGCACAACAAAAACAGAACCCUGCUUUCGAGAGUAGUGGUAGUAAUCCGGCCUUCACGUGGAGAGGGGAAAAGUAAAAUACAAAUGGAAGAGCCAGAUGCUCAGGCAAAUGUCUCAAAGGAAGAUCAUCACGAGAGUCACCUGGUCUAACUUGAAAGAAACCCAACUUAAGAGCUGCGACUGAAUGGAAUUCAGAGUUUUAUAUUUUUCAUCACACUCGAGGCUGGCACACCCUGCCCUCACUUCCUCCCUGCCAGCCACUCUGUGACCUCGCUUUACACCCAGAGCCCUGAAGCCUAGUUGCUGAUAACCCAUCACGAGGCCCAGCACAGCACCCCCCCCCCCAACCGUCCCACCCCGGGUACCCUGGGAGGGAGAGAUAAAAACCCCCACUGGGGAAGAGCAGCCCUGCUCGAGACGCCGCUCUGGCUUCUCCUAAAGAACCAUGCACGCCAAGCUGGCAGGAAAACCCCACCUGCAUGGGCAAGAUAACACUCUCCUGGAUUCAAGGACAAGCAGGGUGAUCUGGUCCUGGCUAAAUUAUGUUGCACGAAUCCUGCAGCAUGUCCUCUGAGGACGCUGCUCCUGGUAAGUGGACUUGUAAUAGAGCAUCCAAGAAAAACAUCCAGCCUUCAGGACACGAACGCAAUCUCCACAGAGGAUUUUAUUUAUCCCAUUGCUGAGCAAUCCCAAGCACCUGGGGAAGCGUCUGGCUCAAGUGAGUGCUCAAUGAAGAGUUGCUGAGUCCAUGAAUGAAUGCACCUGCCACCGCAUUUUUGGGGUGGGUUUUGCUGUUGCUGUCCUAUAGUCUCCAAGUCUUAUAAAAAUUGCUGUCAAUCACAUUCAACAUUGAUGAGACAUGAGUUUACCAUUAAAAAAUGUCAGUUAAUCCGCCGGAAGGGUUUGAUACCAUUCUCCUGGGUGUUCUGUAUGUGGAAGCUGGAAGUAGAUCCUUGUAUGAAAAUUAAAUGCACAGUGUCACAUGCUGGUCACCAACCAUUAAGGCCACUGGAUGUUUUAGCAAAAAUUACCUGGUAAAUUAUUAACUGGCCACACACCAAUGCUUCCGUUCCCUACACCUGUGCCACGCAGCGUGUUGCUGCCUGUUAACCAGAACACCACAGCAUUUAUUUCCCCAGCUCUUGAACCUGAACUUGGGCUUGUGACUUUCUUUGGACAAUGGUAUAUUAACAAAUGUGAGGCAAACCAAGGCAUGAAAUAAGCUAGCACACUGGGGCUCUUGGGAACGCUGUAACUGGAAUCGUGUGAAGAAGCCCGGCUAACCUUCUGGGUUAUUGCCCCAGCCAAUAGCCAGCCAACCACUGACCACAAGAGCGAGACCACUCUGGGCCACCCAGAUAUCAGCUGAGGCAUGAGAAAGCCCAGGAAAGAUCAGCAAAGGUGCUCCAGAGUGGAGCACCUUUUGGGUCCUAAGCAGACCCAAAGAAUCAUGAGUUAAGUAAAUAGCUGUUGGGAGCUAUGAAGAUUGGAAUGGUUUGCUACACAGCAAAAACUGAUACAGACUAGAAAACAAAACAGCCAAUUUAAUAGAGACAAGUCUAUCUGCUUCUUUCAAAGGUAUUUUGUCCCUGUAGGGGAAGGUGGCUCCACAGAAUCUCCUGGCCCAAUCAAGUCUGAGGGGGGCAGUACUUCUGUGAUGAGCCUUGCCCUUUACCUUCUUGCCCAAUGUCCCCUUCUGAACACUAGCAAGAACUUUCAAGGUAAAAUAAAAAGUAACUUUUGUUUUAGUGGGAUAAAAAUAAAAAUUGGCUAUCUUAAAGAAGUAUGGACCUUUAAAUCAAAAAAUA